AAAAUUCCGUCCUCGGAAUUGAUACAGGGUUAUACGAAAAGAUGGGGAUAGUCUCUCCUCAUCCUAUCUUCUAAUUCCCACGUGGCCUCUUCGACAUCAUGGUUUCGCCAAACAACCUUAACAGAAGAUAUAACUUUGUUUCUUAGCAUUUGUUCUUUCUUAUCUAUUAUCUGAACAGGAAUUUCUUCAUAUGCCAGAUUCUUCUCUACUUGAAUGGGCUCAUAGGAAAUUACGUGCUUAUAGUCAGACUUGUACGGUCGUAGUACGGAAAUAUGAAACACGUUGUGGAUGUGUUCCAGUUCGGGUGGCAAAGCAACUUUGUAUGCCACUUCGCCCACUCACUUCAAUAUCUCGAAUGGCCCUAUGAACCUCGGACUCAAUUUUCCUUUCUUUCCGAAUCUGAUCUUUCCCUUCCAAGGAGAUACCUUCAAAAACAC
rnacentral:lncRNA from 1 species